UGAGGAAGCGAAUGGUCAGACAUGCGUGUCGGAGUUUAUUCCGCGGUGGGAGGGUGUGAUAAAAAGCAAGGAAGCUUGGCUUUCACUCCCAGAAAACUUGAGGGUGGCCGUGGGAACCAAAAAGCCCCUCAUUGUGCCUUAAAGGGAGUGACGGCCGCACAGGCUGUGUGUGCCUAGGCUCAGGAACCAGGGCAGCACUGCGCAGGCGUGGGCCACAAGCGGCCCUCCCCCCGCCCCAACAAGAGAGCAGGAAAUACAGGGAAGGCGGGUCCGCGUAGGCCUAUGGUAGAGGCAGAGCUGCGCGGCUGAGGUGCGCAGUGCCCAGGGAGAGCCUGGGAGCCGCGCGGUUAGCUGCUGGCGAGCCUUGUCUGGAUGGACUACGCCGCAAUGGUCGUCCGGCACACCUUGGGGCCUCGGGUGGGGCCCACAUGCCAGGUCUUAAUAGCAUUUUGUCUUCAUAAAAAUAUGGAAAACUUCACCAGAUUCAAUCCAUUGCAGCUAAAAAAAAAAAAAGACUGCUGUGUAAAGAAAUCCUGAAUUUCCUACUAGAGGAUGAAAUACUUGUGGAGCCAGAGACAAGCCAUCCUAGCUCUGAUCUCCUUAGACCACAAGCCUGCCAGCCCUCAGACAUGUGAGUAAGCCAUCAUAGAUUAUUCAUUGCCAGCCAUGCUAGUGUAGACCA
rnacentral:lncRNA from 1 species